rnacentral:rRNA from 1 species
UCGAGAAUUUUUCUCAAUGGGCGAAAGCCUGAAGGAGCGACGCCGCGUGGAGGAUGAAGGCUUUCGGGUUGUAAACUCCUGUCAUUUGAGAACAAGGGGCCGAACUUAACUACUUCGGCCUUGAUAGUAUCAGAAGAGGAAGGGACGGCUAACUCUGUGCCAGCAGCCGCGGUAAUACAGAGGUCCCAAGCGUUGUUCGGAUUCAUUGGGCGUAAAGGGUGCGUAGGUGGCGCCGUAAGUCGGGUGUGAAAUUUCGGAGCUUAACUCCGAAACUGCAUUCGAUACUGCGGUGCUUGAGGACUGGAGAGGAGACUGGAAUUCAUGGUGUAGCAGUGAAAUGCGUAGAGAUCAUGAGGAAGACCAGUGGCGAAGGCGGGUCUCUGGACAGUUCCUGACACUGAGGCACGAAGGCCAGGGGAGCAAACGG